CCUACGGGAGGCAGCAGUGAGGAAUAUUGGUCAAUGGACGAGAGUCUGAACCAGCCAAGUAGCGUGAAGGAUGACUGCCCUAUGGGUUGUAAACUUCUUUUAUAUGGGAAUAAAAUGUUCCACGUGUGGGAUUUUGUAUGUACCAUAUGAAUAAGGAUCGGCUAACUCCGUGCCAGCAGCCGCGGUAAUACGGAGGAUCCGAGCGUUAUCCGGAUUUAUUGGGUUUAAAGGGAGCGUAGGUGGAUUGUUAAGUCCGUUGUGAAAGUUUGGGGCUCAACCGGAAAAUUGCAGUUGAAACUGGCAGUCUUGAGUACAGGAGAGGUGGGCGGAAUGCGUGGUGUAGCGGUGAAAUGCUUAGAUAUCACGAAGAACUCCGAUUGCGAAGGCAGUUCACUGGACUGCAACUGACACUGAGGCUCGAAAGUGUGGGUAUCAAACAGGAUUAGAUACCCUGGUAGUC
rnacentral:rRNA from 1 species